GGCAGCAGAGUAGCAUGUCAGACAGGGUCAAAAGAGGUUAGGCUGCCCACCUGGGGCCAGUCGGUGGUGGCAGCAGCAGCAGUGCCAGAAGCAGAGGCAGCCCCAGCAGCCACCACAGCUGGGCACGGAGUUGGUGGUGGGAAAAAGCUGCUGUAGAGGCAACUGAGACUAGAAGAAUCAUAGUGUCCACAGGAUCUUGACCUGUGGUGACAGCCCUGAAAAUCACUACAACCUGAAUGAGGAGCUCCACACCUGCAGUCAGGCAGAGAAAACUUUUUGGAACUUGGUGAUUCUCACUGACUGCCCAUGGAACUCACUUUAUUCAGAAGAACCCUUGUGAUGGCUCAGGACAGGUCAAGGGGGCUCCAGCCCAGGUGCAAAGUAGAGAUGGUGGAGUGACUGGGGAGGGGAGGUCCUGGCCACGUGGCUGCUUCCCACAGCUGUCUAGCAGGUCUGAAGCACAACUCUAGCGAUCUUGGACCAAAGGGUCCACACUCACCAUUGGCUGUCCAAGCUCCGGGAUCACCGAAGAUUCUUCUUCAAAGUCCAAAUCACAGGAAGGUGAGAGCUACACCAAGAAAUAAGUGAUAACCUCAGGAGCAGAAACACUAGUGUAUUUUAAGGUCUGGACUGCCUUCUUUCACCAUCAGCAGCCCAGAUGGGACAGAAAGCUGCACACUUCAGUAUCUUAAAACAUAAUUGGAUGAAGUACUUGCCAUAUACACAACUCCUCUCCUGAUUGGGUAAUAAUCAGAUCCAUCAAAAACACGCCCCAAAUGACUAUCCAAUCAAAAUGAGAAUAUUUUGAAUGA